rnacentral:rRNA from 1 species
CUACGGGAGGCAGCAGUGGGGAAUAUUGGACAAUGGGGGCAACCCUGAUCCAGCCAUGCCGCGUGAGUGAAGAAGGCCUUCGGGUUGUAAAGCUCUUUCGACGGGGACGAUGAUGACGGUACCCGUAUAAGAAGCCCCGGCUAACUUCGUGCCAGCAGCCGCGGUAAUACGAAGGGGGCUAGCGUUGUUCGGAAUUACUGGGCGUAAAGCGCGCGUAGGCGGUGAUCUUUGUCAGAGGUGAAAGCCCGGAGCUCAACUCCGGAAUUGCCUUUGAAACGGGAUCGCUUGAGUCCGAGAGAGGAUGGCGGAAUUCCUAGUGUAGAGGUGAAAUUCGUAGAUAUUAGGAAGAACACCGGUGGCGAAGGCGGCCAUCUGGCUCGGUACUGACGCUCAGGCGCGAAAGCGUGGGGAGCAAACAGGAUUAGAAACCCGAGUAGUCC